GCGGCAACACCUGUUCUCGUACGACCACCGAAAGUAAGCAACAUCGUGUCUGGUCAGAACAUAGAUGGGUGACCUCCUGUGAAUAACUGGUGCUGUAA